rnacentral:rRNA from 1 species
UACGAAGGGUGCAAACGUUGCUCGGAAUUAUUGGGCGUAAAGGGCGCGUAGGCGAUUUGACAAGUCUUGUGUGAAAGCCCCGAGCUUAACUCGGGAAGUGCACAAGAAACUGUUGAAUUUGAGUUCCGGAGAGGAAGGCAGAAUUCCCGGUGUAGCGGUGAAAUGCGUAGAUAUCGGGAGGAAUACCAGUGGCGAAGGCGGCCUUCUGGACGGAUACUGACGCUGAGGCGCGAAAGCCAGGGGAGCAAACGGG